AGUGAACGCUGGCGGUAGGCCUAACACAUGCAAGUCGAACGGCAGCACAGUAAGAGCUUGCUCUUACGGGUGGCGAGUGGCGGACGGGUGAGGAAUACAUCGGAAUCUACUUUUUCGUGGGGGAUAACGUAGGGAAACUUACGCUAAUACCGCAUACGACCUACGGGUGAAAGCAGGGGAUCUUCGGACCUUGCGCGAUUGAAUGAGCCGAUGUCGGAUUAGCUAGUUGGCGGGGUAAAGGCCCACCAAGGCGACGAUCCGUAGCUGGUCUGAGAGGAUGAUCAGCCACACUGGAACUGAGACAAGGUCCAGACUCCUACGGGAGGCAGCAGUGGGGAAUAUUGGGCAAUGGGCGCAAGCCUGAUCCAGCCAUACCGCGUGGGUGAAGAAGGCCUUCGGGUUGUAAAGCCCUUUUGUUGGGAAAGAAAAGCAGCAGGUUAAUACCCCGCUGUUCUGACGGUACCCAAAGAAUAAGCACCGGCUAACUUCGUG
rnacentral:rRNA from 1 species